UUAUUAUGGAAUAUCCAGAAUAGUUGAUUGAACCUAGUCUGUAUGUGCAUCUGUCAGACCCAGUAACUGCUAACUUGAAUAAACACUGAGAUAUAUUGACUGAUGAUCAGAGGCUUAACCUAGCUUCAAACGUUCACCGUUAGCGUUAGCAAGGUGUGAACAUAGUUUAACAAACACUUGAAAUAAACAAAUAAAUUGACAGUCAUGAGCAUUAUCAGCUGUGUUUUCCUUUUUUUUUUGUGUUUUAGGAUGGAAAAUAAAUUUAUUUUUGCUAAAUAAUAAUUUUUAAAACAACCAAAAUCCUUUCUUCGUUUAAAAUGUGCUUUUAGCACCUAAUUUGAGUUCAUUGUGUGAGUCAAAUGAAACUAAUGCCGAAAUGGAGGGUAACCGACGGAAACAAAUUAGAUUAAUUGAUUUGAACUUAGAUUGCCUUCUUCGAAUUCUGAGUUAUUGUAAUGAACAGGAUUGGCUGAAUUUAUGUCGUGUGCAUCGCAUACUACGCAAUGUAAUCGAACAGAAUAUUUUCUAUGUGAAAACCUUAGAUUCGCUCAUGUGCGGACACCGAAAUUCCCCAAGGAUAUCCAAAAGGACAUACAAUUCCCUCUCCUAUGCCGCACGGCUCAGUAUUGCCCGUAAUUGGUUGCAAGGCCGUUAUAGAGAGUAUGAGUACUAUCAUCAUGCACAAAUGUUCCCCACAAAAUUGCUCUUGGAGCGUAAUUUUCUUUAUGUAACUCAUAUGGAUUAUUUACGUGUUUAUGGACGUGCUAAUAACGAACCAUUACAACGUAGAUAUAAACAGGAAAUAUCUUCCAGUAUACGUGGCGAUAUAUCGAGUUUCACUAAAAAGGGUGAUACAAUAUUCGUUGGACGUGUUACGGGUAACUGUUAUAUCUGGGAAGAUGGCUAUGCCAAUGACCAGCAAUUGCAUAGCGCUAAAGAAUAUUUACAUUGCGUAGAUUUUGAAGAUGAUUUGUAUGUAACUAGCACGAGUGUGUGUGCAAAACUGUGGCGACGCACAAAUGAAUUGGGCUUAAUUAAUUUAGAGUCAAUCGAUGAAAUGCGGCGAGAAUAUAAAGUACUAAAAUUUGCGGAUGGAGGUGAGCGGCUAUAUGGUGGUUUAUAUACGGAUACAGAUAGGCAAGCGUUACGUGAAUUUGAUGUAGAAAGCGGCAAGGAAACUAUACUUAACUCAAACACCCUAUCUAUAUAUGACUUACUUAUUAAAGAUGAGCAUGUACUAUUCACCGGCAACUUUGACACCACUUGCCGUAUGUAUGAUCGUCGUUCGAAUCGCGAUGAAGCCAUAUUCGAAGAUCCUUUUGAUUCAUCAUUUUACUGCAUUGAAUAUGAUGGUUUAUAUGCGCUAUUAUGCGGCGCUAAAUAUCAUAGUCGUGUCAAUUUAUAUGAUAUACGUAUGCCAAAUAAAUAUCAGCAAUUAUAUUUUCCACGCCGGAGUAAAAGAGCGAAAAAUCAGAGUUCUCCUGUGUAUAGCUUAGCCUGUGAUAAUCGUUAUCUCUUCAUAGCAACAGAUCAUAAUUUACGUGUAUUUGAUUUUAAAGAGAGCUAUGCAGAAUGUAAAGAUUACCGUAAUAUAUUCAGUGACAAACGUCGUAUACCAAUGCUUUAAUUGUUUCGAUUUAUGGGAUGUAUUUUGAAAUCUUAACAACAAUUGGGUAUUGGCUUAUGCAAUAUAGUUCUGCCGUUGCAGAAAAGUAUCAAGUGAUCAGUUUUGUAGCUCCUUAAAAUAAAUUCAAUUUUUAUAGACAACAUAGAAAUGCAGAACAAAAUCUUAAAUUCUAAUAAUUGAAAAGAAAAAAAAUUAUUUGUUUGGACGAGGUUAACGAGGCACUGCCCACAACCACCAAUGCAUUCCGAUGUGCAAAAACUUGACAAACAAAUCUCUUUUGAAUAUAAUUUAGCCGUGAGAGGCUUAGAGAGUCAAACAUCAAUUUACUUACAUAAAUAAAUACAUGAAGAGGCACAAAGUGAAGGCAGUUUAUUCUCGCUACUCCUAAGUUUUAAUGAUCCCAAAUUAUAUUUGAAAAACAUUAAAUGUACUUUAGGUAAUGAAAUAUAUGUAUUUAUAUGUCUAUGAAGAAUAUGCAAGCAGUAAGCUUGGCGACAUUCACUGCUAUUCAGAUUUGGUAUAUCCGCCAAAUAUCGAUAUUCGGUGACAGUAAGCCAUUUCCACGAUCAUAGAUUGUUCAAGAUACGUAUGUAAAAGAACAAUGACAAGACCAACAGAGUAGUUUUAGGUAUUUAAAAUUGCUUUUUAAUAUGUAUCAUGAAUGAACAUAACCUCAAAUUUUAUAAACAAGGCUUAGAACUCAGUAUAACAUGUAAUAGUUUACAUACAUAUAUGGUUUAUUAUAUAAUAAUUGUUAAUAAAUGCAACUCAGUUCAAUAAGUCACUGAAUU
rnacentral:misc_RNA from 1 species